AGUGAACGCUGGCGGUAGGCCUAACACAUGCAAGUCGAACGGCAGCACAGUAAGAGCUUGCUCUUACGGGUGGCGAGUGGCGGACGGGUGAGGAAUACAUCGGAAUCUACUUUUUCGUGGGGGAUAACGUAGGGAAACUUACGCUAAUACCGCAUACGACCUACGGGUGAAAUCAGGGGAUCUUCGGACCUUGCCCGAUUGAAUGAGCCGAUGUCGGAUUAGCUAGUUGGGAGGGUAAAGGCCCACCAAGGCGACGAUCCGUAGCUGGUCUGAGAGGAUGAUCAGCCACACUGGAACUGAGACACGGUCCAGACUCCUACGGGAGGCAGCAGUGGGGAAUAUUGGACAAUGGGCGCAAGCCUGAUCCAGCCAUACCGCGUGGGUGAAGAAGGCCUUCGGGUUGUAAAGCCCUUUUGUUGGGAAAGAAAAGCAGCAGGUUAAUACCCCGCUGUUCUGACGGUACCCAAAGAAUAAGCACCGGCUAACUUCGUG
rnacentral:rRNA from 1 species